rfam:Nitrosomonas sp. AL212, complete genome.
GGGGACGAUCUGGUUUCGACGUGGGUUGCAAAGCAGCGCAGGGCAUACCGAGGAUCAGAUUACCUCGUAAAUCCAUCUGAAAACAAUAGUCGCAAACGACGAAAACUACGCUUUAGCCGCUUAAUUCGGCUAGCCUCUGCACCGAUGGGCCUCAACGCCGGGUCUGGCAACAGACAGCAGAGUUACUAACGAGGAUCGCGUUUUAUAGGGUUACUUUAUAGAACGUUAAACGCAAGGUGACUCGCCUGUCAUCAGCCUGCCGGUUGGCGGUUGCCAGGUCAAACUAAAUAACAUGGCUAAGUAUGUAGAACUGUCUGUAGAGGGCUUGCGGACGCGGGUUCGAUUCCCGCCGUCUCCACCA